rnacentral:rRNA from 1 species
AGAGUUUGAUCCUGGCUCAGCCUGAACGCUGGCGGCGUGGCUAAGACAUGCAAGUCGCACGGGGUCGCAAGACCCAGUGGCGAACGGGUGAGUAAUGAAUCGCUAAUGUACCCCGGACUCUGGGAUAGCUGCCCGAAAGGGCAGGUAAUACCAGAUGAGACCCCGAUCAGGCAUCUGAUUGUGCUCAAAGGUCCGCCGGUCUGGGAGCAGGCGAUUUCGUAUCAGCUUGUUGGUGAGGUAACGACUCACCAAGGCGACGACGCGUAGCCGGACUGAGAGGUUGGCCGGCCACAUUGGGACUGAGACACUGCCCAGACUCCUACGGGGGGCUGCAGUAACGAAUCUUCCGCAAUGCACGAAAGUGUGACGGAGCGACGCCGCGUGUAGGACGAAGCCCUUCGGGGUGUAAACUACUGUCAGGGGUUAGAAAGUUCUGAUCAACCCCAGAGGAAGGCACGGCUAACUCUGUGCCAGCCGCCGCGGUAAUAC